GUGCCUAUAGCUCAAUUGGAUAGAGCGUCAGAUUGCGGUUCUGGAGGUUGGAAGUUCAAGUCUUCUUAGGCACG
rfam:Brachyspira sp. CAG:700 genomic scaffold, scf495